UCUAUUGACAACUCAAUCAGGGACAGUUCCUCAGAUUUGUCACCUGAAAAGAAUGGCUCAGGGAAGGUAACUGAUGCAAAGUAUGACUGAAUUUGAAACACCUCUGCUCUGGCUGACACAAGAAGUAGCAUUAAGGGUCUUCAGAGGCAGAAGUGUCCCACCUGAGGAGCAGGGGCAAAUUCUUCCCUGAGAUGGAUGUAUAAUGUUCCCACUUACUUCAGUUGAAAAUUUAUUCAAGGAGGCCUGAUUUUGAAAGGGAUCUCAAAGAUGACCUGCACAAGGGGAAAAAAAUGGAACUUGUGCCAUUCUUUGCUUCUUUAUGACAUAGAAGAAAAAGUCUGAAAGCUUCUCCCCCUCCAUUCCCCACCAAUACACCAACACAAAAAGAGCCAAGAGGAAGGAUUCUGCUUGUUUUUUACCCUUAAAGAUCGCAUGGUUGCCUGGAGAACUUCUAGAAUUAUUACAUCAUAAGAGGCAAAGAAGUGAAACUUGGUUGAAGGAGGAAGUAAUUUUUAUUCCAACCGUUUCAAAUUAUUUGUUUGUGUUAAUACUUAUUUAAUUAAAAGUUUGGUAGAAAAACUCUCAUUGUCGUAUCAUCGUCAUCUCAACUGAGGACUGAAAAAGCUCCAAAAAUACUUUGCAUCAUCCAAGAAGCCAUCCAACAAUAAAAGGAAAAACAUGGCUUUACAUUCCUAAUAUUUUUAAAUAAAACAAACACAAAUAAUUGUGGACCCAAAUGGUGGGAUGAAACUGUCUAACUAUCACAUAUAAUGUAUACAUUUUUGUUCAUAUGUAAUAGCACCCACAACUUCAGGCUUUCAAGACUCAAUCAGGAAUCUGCUUUUUAGUCCUCUUCUUCCACAUAAAGGAAAUCACAAAGGGCCUGACUUCAAUGCUGUCUAAAUCCAUUUUGACAUUCAAUACACCAUUCAUUAUACACUAAUUCUGUUAGACUUUUACCCUUUGCAUGUAGUUACAGAUUUCACAACACACUAUAUUUCUUAUCUUAGAUCUCUAUUGCCAAAGCCUAUUUUUGUAACAAAGCAAUCCUAGUAACAUGCACUAUUUGUUUUUCUUAUUUUUAUCAACUUCUAUAAACAAUAUGUGAACUGCAUAUGGUGUGAAAUGGAUGCUUUCAAUUUACUAAAUAAGCAUCCACUGCUACUUAUUAUUUUGAUUAAUGAGGUACAACAAAAAAGAGAGAGAACAACAUAGAAGAAUAAGUAAU